rnacentral:lncRNA from 1 species
CUGACUCAGUCCAGCAGCUCACUAGGACCCUCACAUCUGUUGCCCUAGCUGGUCAUUCGGUCCAGUCAAACAUGCCUGUCCACUGACCUUUCGUCUGUGCUGCAUGGAGCCAUCAGUCUGUCUUACCUGCUUGCCUAGGGGGCUUUCUGGAUGUCGUCCCGAGAAUUUUCCUGUCUCAGGGCUGUACUUUCUGGGUUCCCGGUGGUUGAUUGCUGGUCUCUAAUGAUGCAGUGGAAAGGGCUUGAGAUC